rnacentral:rRNA from 1 species
AGCUUUAUGAAAGAUUAUUAAUAUAAAGUAAAACCUGCCCACUGAAUUUUUAAAUGGCCGCAGUACCUUGACUGUGCUAAGGUAGCAUAAUAAAUUGACUUUUAAUUGAGGUCUUGAAUGAAAGGAACCAUGAAUAAUUACUGUCUUAUUUUAAUUAAUAGUAAAUUACUAAUAAGGUGAAAAUUCCUUUAAAUAAAUAUAAUAGACGAGAAGACCCUAGGAGUUUUAUAAAAAUUUUGUUGGGGCGACAUUAUAGCAUUAAUUUAACCUAUAAUUAAAAUUAUUAAUAAAACGAGAAAUUUUAAUAUAAAUUAAACUACCCUAGGGAUAACAGCAUAAUUUAUAAUUAAGUUUGUGACCUCGAUGUUGGACUAAGGGCUUUUAAAGUUAACAGCGUUAAAUGAUAGUUCUGUUCGAACUUUGUACCUU